rnacentral:rRNA from 1 species
AUUGAACGCUGGCGGCAUGCCUUACACAUGCAAGUCGAACGGCAGCACGGGAGCAAUCCUGGUGGCGAGUGGCGAACGGGUGAGUAAUAUAUCGGAACGUGCCCAGUCGUGGGGAUAACGUAGCGAAAGCUACGCUAAUACCGCAUACGAUCUACGGAUGAAAGCGGGGGAUCGCAAGACCUCGCGCGAUUGGAGCGGCCGAUAUCAGAUUAGGUAGUUGGUGAGGUAAAGGCUCACCAAGCCGACGAUCUGUAGCUGGUCUGAGAGGACGACCAGCCACACUGGGACUGAGACACGGCCCAGACUCCUACGGGAGGCAGCAGUGGGGAAUUUUGGACAAUGGGCGCAAGCCUGAUCCAGCAAUGCCGCGUGCAGGAUGAAGGCCUUCGGUUGU